rnacentral:rRNA from 1 species
UACGUAGGGUGCGAGCGUUGUCCGGAUUUAUUGGGCGUAAAGAGCUCGUAGGCGGUUUGUCGCGUCGGCCGUGAAAUCUCCACGCUUAACGUGGAGCGUGCGGUCGAUACGGGCAGACUUGAGUUCGGUAGGGGAGACUGGAAUUCCUGGUGUAGCGGUGAAAUGCGCAGAUAUCAGGAGGAACACCGGUGGCGAAGGCGGGUCUCUGGGCCGAUACUGACACUGAGGAGCGAAAGCCAGGGGAGCAAACGGG